rnacentral:rRNA from 1 species
GACGAACGCUGGCGGCGUGCUUAACACAUGCAAGUCGAGCGGGAUCCAACCGGUGGCAACACCGGGGAAGAUCUAGCGGCGAACGGGUGAGUAACACGUGAGCAACCUGCCCCGAAGACUGGGAUAACACCGGGAAACCGGUGCUAAUACCGGAUGUCGUCAUUAGGCCGCAUGACCUGAUGAUGAAAGGAUUCAUCGCUUCGGGAGGGGCUCGCGGGCUAUCAGCNGGUUGGUGGGGUAACGGCCUACCAAGGCGACGACGGCUAGCUGGUCUGAGAGGACGACCAGCCACACUGGGACUGAGACACGGGCCCAGACUCCUACGGGAGGCAGCAGUGGGGAAUCUUGCGCAAUGGGCGAAAGCCUGACGCAGCAACGCCGCGUGGGGGAUGAAUGCCUUCGGUUGUAACCCUUC